GCCCGCCGCCCCGCCCCGGGUUCCUGCCACCCGUGCCGCCGCCGCAAAGUCUUUCUGCUGCUCAAGUUCCUGGCCGACGCCCAGAGAUGCCUAGUUGCAGAAGGGAGUUCCGUUCGCCCGGCUGCUGGACUCGCUGUGAAUCGACUCUGUCAGCGCCCUCCGCCUCCCCUCGCGCUGAGGGUGGCAGUCGGCCUCGGCCCCGCCCCCGCGUCCUGGGGCCUCGAGCUCCCCACUUGUGUGAAAUAUACAAAAUAUCACUGGGAAGACACAAAUGAAAGUGAUACAUCAGUUGACUCCUAGGAGGGGAAUUAUGAGACUGGGGAACAGAAGAGAAAAGAUUGUAAAAGAUUCAACAUGGAACUCUGUAUCUUUUGAACUUUGAAUCAAGUUAAAGUAUCUUUUAAAUAAAUACAUACAUAAAAUAA